GAGAAUUGAUCUGGUUCAGGACGAACGCUGGCGGCGUGCCUAAUACAUGCAAGUGGAACGCAUGAUUGAUACCGUAGCUUGCUACACCAUAAUCAUGAGUCGCGAACGGGUGAGUAACGCGUAGGUAACCUGCCUACUAGCGGGGGAUAACUAUUGGAAACGAUAGCUAAUACCGCAUAAGAGUUUUUAACACAUGUUAGAAUUUAAAAGGAGCAAAUGCUUCACUAGUAGAUGGACCUGCGUUGUAUUAGCUAGUUGGUAAGGUAACGGCUUACCAAGGCGACGAUACAUAGCCGACCUGAGAGGGUGAUCGGCCACACUGGGACUGAGACACGGCCCAGACUCCUACGGGAGGCAGCAGUAGGGAAUCUUCGGCAAUGGGGGGAACCCUGACCGAGCAACGCCGCGUGAAGUGAAGAAGGUUUUCGGAUCGUAAAGCUCUGUUGUAAGAGAAGAACGUUGAGUAGACGUGGAAAGUUACUCAAGUGACGGUAUCUUACCAGAAAGGGACGGCUAACUACGUGCCAGCCGCCGC
rnacentral:rRNA from 1 species